rnacentral:rRNA from 1 species
AUUGAACGCUGGCGGCAGGCCUAACACAUGCAAGUCGAACGAGUGGCAGACGGGUUAGUAAUGUCUGUGAAACUGCCUGAUGGAGGGGGUCAACUACCGGAAACGGUAGCUGAUACCGCAUACCAUCGGAUGUGCCCAGAUGGGAUUAGCUAGUGGGUGGGGUAAAGGCUAACCUAGGCGACGAUCCCUAGCUGGUCUGAGAGGAUGACCAGCCACACGGGAACUGAGACACGGUCCAGACUCCUACGGGAGGCAGCAGUGGGGAAUAUUGCACAAUGGGCGCAAGCCUGAUGCAGCCAUGCCGCGUGUAUGAAGAAGGCCUUCGGGUUGUAAAGUACUUUCAGCGGGGAGGCGUUACCCGCAGAAGAAGCACCGGCUAACUCCGUGCCAGCAGCCGCGGUAAUUC